rnacentral:rRNA from 1 species
CCCUUAGAUGUCCUGGGCUGCACGCGCGCUACACUGGAAGUUACGGAUUGAGAUACUACCUUGUCCGAAAUGGUCCGGGUAAUCACCUAAAAGCUUGUCAUAAUUGGAAUGGAUUAUUGUAACUAGUAAUCCUGAACGAGGAAUUCCUAGUAAGUCCCAGUCAACAGCUGGUACUGAUUACGUCCCUGCCCUUUUUACACACCGCCCGUCGCUACUACUGAUUGGACGUUUAAGCAAGAUUUUUAAACACUGACAGUGUGUAGUUCACGCUAUACUACAGUGAGAAGAAGAAGAUCGAGCUUACUUGUCUAGAGGAAGUAAAAGUCGUAACA